UAGAAGUCGUAAUAAAAUAAUUUGAAUAUAAAGCUAUGUUUUAAAGUAAAUAAAGACCAUUUAACGAUGUUAACAUGAUGAGACAUCGAUUUUAUGGAAUGGAGGAGAAGAUUUAACAGCUAGAAAUUAACAAAAAUCCUGCAAGAGCAUCGAGAUCUCGCUUUUGGCGAGUGGAAGUCCAAAGGCAAAGUGCAGCGGUUUGCAGUUCUUAGCCUCACUUUUUUGGACCUAACAAGACAGGAAAAGAAUAGUCAAAGAGGAAACCCGAGUAGCCAGAUGAUAAUAUAUGAAACCAUGAGCAGCCAGCCAUUGAAACUCUCAGCAAUUUGAAUAACAAUUUUGAUUGAUUACCAAUCAUGUAUCAUACCUAUUAAUAGAAAAUUAAAACUGUUAGGUACCUAUGUUUUAAUUGAA